rnacentral:tRNA from 1 species
UUGUUAGCUCAGUCGGUAGAGCAGCGGACUUUUAAUCCGUUGGUCAAGGGUUCGAUUCCCUUACA